rnacentral:rRNA from 1 species
AGAACGAACGCUGGCGGCAUGCCUAACACAUGCAAGUCGAACGCUCUUGGGGCUUCGGUUCCAAGGGAGUGGCGCACGGGUGAGUAGCGCGUGGGAACCUGCCCUGUUGUGGGGGAUAACCGAGGGAAACUUCGGCUAAUACCGCAUAAGCCGGUUGUCUUGAAAGAGAUGGCCGGGAAAGAUUUAUCGCGACAGGAGGGGCCCGCGUCGGAUUAGCUAGUUGGUGGGGUAACGGCCCACCAAGGCAGUGAUCCGUAGCUGGUCUGAGAGGAUGAUCAGCCACACUGGGACUGAGACACGGCCCAGACUCCUACGGGAGGCAGCAGUGGGGAAUAUUGGACAAUGGGCGCAAGCCUGAUCCAGCAAUGCCGCGUGAGUGAUGAAGGCCUUAGGGUUGUAAAGCUCUUUUGUGCGGGAAGAUAAUGACGGUACCGCAAGAAUAAGCCCCGGCUAACUUCGUGCCAGCAGCCGC